AUCUCACAACCAUAAAGUCUCAAUAUGGUGAGAUCUCACAACCAUAAAGGACAAUAUGGUGAGAUCUCACAACCAUAAAGUCUCAAUAUGGUGAGAUCUCACAACCAUAAAAUCUCAAUAUGGUGAGAUCUCACAACCAUAAAGGACAAUAUGGUGAGAUCUCACAACCAUAAAGGACAAUAUGGUGAGAUCUCACAACCAUAAAGUCUCAAUAUGGUGAGAUCUCACAACCAUAAAGGACAAUAUGGUGAGAUCUCACAACCAUAAAGGACAAUAUGGUGAGAUCUCACAACCAUAAAGUCUCAAUAUGGUGAGAUCUCACAACCAUAAAGGACAAUAUGGUGAGAUCUCACAACCAUAAUGUCUCAAUAUGGUGAGAUCUCACAACCAUAAAGUCUCAAUAUGGUGAGAUCUCACAACCAUAAAGUCUCAAUAUGGUGAGAUCUCACAACCAUAAUGUCUCAAUAUGGUGAGAUCUCACAACCAUAAAGUCUCAAUAUGGUGAGAUCUCACAACCAUAAUGUCUCAAUAUGGUGAGAUCUCACCACCAUAAAGGACAAUAUGGUGAGAUCUCACAACCAUAAAGUCUCAAUAUGGUGAGAUCUCACAACCAUAAAGUCUCAAUAUGGUGAGAUCUCACAACCAUAAAGUCUCAAUAUGGUGAGAUCUCACAACC